GAUGAAGAACGUAGUGAAAUGCGAUAAGUAAUGUGAAUUGCAGAAUUCAGUGAAUCAUCGAAUCUUUGAACGCACCUUGCGCUCUUUGGUAUUCCGAAGAGCAUGCCUGUUUGAGUGUCAUGAAAAUAUCAACCUUGACUUGGGUUUUGUGCUCUAGUCUCGGCUUGGAAUUGGGUGCUUGCCGCUUUUACGAGCGGCUCACCUUAAAUGUAUUAGCUGGAUCUGUCUUUGAGACUUGGUUUGACUUGGCGUAAUAAGUAUUUCGCUAAGGACAUUCUUCGGAGUGGCCUCGUUUCUAGGGCGCUUGUCCGCUUUCCAAUACAAGUUCCACCUCGUGGACAUGACUUUUUAUUAUCUGGCCUCAAAUCAGGUAGGACUACCCGCUGAACUUAAGCAUAUCAAUAAGCGGAGGA
rnacentral:misc_RNA from 1 species